ensembl:lncRNA
GUGUAUUUCAUAUUGGGGCUCUUUUCGGGGUUUGUAAUUUGGCCGUGGGUAGGUAAUUGGCUGGAGCAGGGCGGCAGGGCGCGGCAGCCAAUCAGCACGCGGCUUCUAUAGGGCUUGAGUUAUUAGACGCUGAUCUCAAAACAUCCUUCAUCAGACUCCAAGGAGAGGCCAACAGAUGAGGGGAGCCAUUUUUCUGCAAUGGAAUUAAAUGGCCAAUUUUCAUGUUACUGUCGCCUGAGAUGUCCUGAAUUUUCGGAACCUUCAUCUGCAUGUAUGUCUUUGUCUCGGUCUGAUAGCAGUAAACAGUCCACAGCGAAGCCGCCUUUUGCCGGCCCAACCCUGGAAAGUUUGCAGUCGUGGAAGGAGCAGAAAUACCAUGAGUGUAACUUACAAAAAGGUAACAAAAGAACAUAACCCCAGAUUUUUUUCCCCAACUAAACAACCAAAACAACAACAAAAAAACUGUUAUUUUUAUAAUAACAACUCCAAAAACACCACCCAGCUUUUUCUUCUAGACUCCAUAGCACCGGGCUGAGCGGGCGAAGAGAGCAUCUCCCCAGUACCCUGGGGCAUCCAUGGAGCUGCCUUGCGCUAGUCCCUUUGGCUCGCCUCAGAUCUGAACCUUGGUGACAGAGAAGAAAUCGAAGUGCUUUGAAGAUGGAGGGGCUGGAAAGGCGAGGAAACGUUCCCACCCAUCCUAAGGUCUUGGCCGGAGACCGGAACAAUGUCUGGGUUAUCCCCACAGUAGACAGUCCUUGCUUCCUCUGGACAUCUGGAACAGGCCUAAUUUGGCUGACAGCUUUCCCACUAAGGUAGGUAAGAGCCCUUUCCCCAAGUUGAGAGAACUGUAUCAGGGGGUUUUGGCCUGCGGCCUUAGAAGGGCGGGUUGGGAUCCCCAAACUCGCUGGGCUGGUUCUGCAGCCCCUCCCCCACGCUGAUGUGGCGGUUGUGUGUGUGAAAUGGGCGGCCUGCUGGGUCCAUCCAGCCCCGCCUGUCAACCUCUGUUGUCAGGCGUUUAGGGCGGGCGUUUCUCUGCCGAAUUUAGCAGCUUACUAGAGCAGGACUACGAAGUACUUCCCAGUGGUGUGUUUUAUGGUGGGUGGGAGGGCCCUGAUUGCUUCUUGAAGGCCUUGACUGCUGCCAGGCUUUGCCGGUGGUGCUUAAGCCAUUCCUCCUGAGCCCCAUUACGGUAACCAAAUGAGCCACCCUCCGAUGUCUGCCUUGCUGGGUAGACAAAGAACCAAGACCUGAUAUCUUAGGCAAUUUUCCCAGAGAAAAGGUUUCCUUGACACCCCCCUUUUUCCUGGAUUCUCACAGUGCCCUCCUGGCUCCCAACAAGGCCAGGUUGUCGAUACACUGGCUUCUAGAAUCUUUAUAAAGCCGGACGUGAAAGGAGGCUGGCCCUUCACCUGAGGUGACCUUGCAGGUCGUCCUGUCUGCAAAAAUUAGGCAGCCCAGGCAUCAGAAGAAGGAAACUCAUUAAGGCUGACCGUGCUGUCUCUUGAGUUUCUCAUUCGAAGUUGCAUUUUAAGAAUUUGUACUUCUUACAAGGUCCCAGGCACUACCAGUUUUCCAGACUCUCCCUGCCAGGUGACACCUGGGAUAUUACCCCGCUGGAUAGGUAGCAGUUGGCUUUGCCCUCCCGCGGCCCAGGAAGCUUCCAGCUGAAGGUGGUGUGGCCCUUGAUUCUCCCCCCCCCCCAAGUGUGUUCCUAGUUAUGUUACUUUGAUAAGCCAUUUGGCUACAGGUGCCACGGAUCAUGCUGCUUCCUCUGUUUUGGCCUGAGCUUCUAGCUGCUUGUCUUUCCGCUUGUUCCUCACCCCUACCGUUGAGUGCUGAAGUGUGGCUUGGGGAGCCUGGCAGGCUUCACGGAGAUGUUGGAGGCAUGUUGGUUCCUAGUCAGGGAUGCUUCAAGCCCGGCAGCUGUGGGGUAGUGACCUUAGAUCGGUGUUUCCCCUAUAAAACGAUCAUAAUAACCGCUGGAAAAGGUUGGCGGGAGGAUUAAUGGAGAUUAAGGGGGCCGCACUCCUGCUCUGGCGGCACAACUAGUUGGCCUCCAUUACGAUAGGGAUUGUUGCUGGGAGUGGCUGCAGGGGUGGGGGCUGGGCUGUGUCCUGGGCUCCUCCCCACCAGCCCACUUCCUGAAGCACGUGCUGGAGCCUCCGGGCAAAGGAGAAAGAAAACUGGCUCUACUUGGGAACGGGGCCAGCUGUUUUUCUCCCAGUGCAGGUUUUUUAGUCCAGGCUGUCCGGGCUCAAUGAGCUGCUCUGUGGUGGGGGUCGUGAUUUUUAAGGGUUACCCACCAGUGGCCCCAAGUGACGAAAAACUUCCCACCCAAGGUUAUGAGGCCACCACUGGCUGAGUCUGGACAGGGUUCCAGGUUACCUUGAUUUUCAGCCCAGAGCCUGGGCCCCUGACACCCCCUUGCCCAGCUGUCUGGGUUAUUUUAGGCACCCUCCGGUGCCAGCUGUCUGCUUCCAUCACUGCCAGGGUCUGGUAGCAAGGAACCAGGAUGGUCCCGUGGCUCCUGCUGGUAUAGAGGGCCAGCCAUGUUGGGAGGGCUAAACUCCUCACCCCAAGUGGGAAGAGCCCGGAAAAGCACUUUUCUAAGGUGAUUUGGUUCAUACUAUCGAUACACUUGUGAGCCUUUCUUGAUCUACGUAAGGGCUCUGCUUCUGCUUCUCUGGGGGUCUUUAUCUCCUCCGGCCCCAGACUAAGUGAUUUAUUUAUUUAUUGGUUUUUCGAGACAGGGUUUCUCUGUAUUGCUUUGGAGCCUAUCCUGGAGCUCGCUCUGAAGACCAGGCUGGCUUUGAACUCACAGAGAUCCGCCUGCCUCUGCCUCCGAUUGCUGGGAUUAAAGGCGUGCGCCACCAACGCCCUGCCUAAGUGAUUGAUGUAAGUGGGCUGUGUCAGCUGUACCCUGGAGGGCUACAGACUUUGGGGAACAAUUAGGUGCUAAACUGUGGUGUGGUGCUUGAAAGGGAACCAUAGAAGUGACAGGGCCAACUUGUGAUUACGGUCUGCACUUCACUUUUUCCUUUUUGUUUUUUGUUUUUUGUUUUGUUUUUUUCUUUGACCCCCUUAUCACCUCCUGGGCGGUAGGGUGGGGCAGUUUGUCCCAAAGUAGUUCCUGGCCCUGGGGGGGCCCGCCCACUGGUCACUCACUGAGUUUGCUUGGGGCGGGGCUGCUUUGGCCUGCUGAGAGAGGGCCACGCCAGCGGAAGGACUGCCUGAGCUGGGAGGUGGCUGGACUAGCUUCACUGCCCAGAUUCCAGCGUCUCCGCCCCUUCCGUCUCCUCCACCUGGCCUGGAGCCCCAGUUUGGAAUAUGACCUUUUAGACACUCUGGGUAGAGCUGGCAGCCAAGAUGGGAAGAAAUACCCCUCACUAUCACCUGCCCCAAUCGUGUUCUCCGAUUGUUCUGUGCAAGUUCCUGUGGAUGGGAACCAGGAAGGCUCUUUCUAACAUUUUGGUGUGACAGAGGAGGGUCUUGCCAUGUCCAAGAUAGUUCUCUUGACAGGCUGGGACUGUAAGUUGAAGGCCUUCUACCUCUGCUCUCCUGGGCUUGCUUUCCCUAUUGGCCUCUGUCUUCCUUGAGACCAUCCUGCGGCUGGCUCCCUGAGGUAAGACCAACUGAAGGAAUCUCUUGCUUUCCCACUCUUUCCAGGAAUUCCUGGAGAAUGGGGGGUGGGGGCAGAACAUAUUGCAGGUGAGGGAAUAAGCCACCCUAUGUGGGUGAGUGUGUCUUAUCUCCUCAGCUGGGCCAGCCUGGCCUGACCUGACCUGACCUCUGAGGAGGCUCUCUAAACAGCAGCUGGCUGAAUUCCUGGGUAUUUUUAGCUACACAAAUCCAGCCCCACCAUCACCAUGAGAAGCUGGGUCCAAAUCCAACACUCCAGGCCUGAUAAUACUGGGGUUCUGCCAGCCUCCUGCUGAGGCUCGGAUGGGUGGGCAGGAAGGCUGGAACCGGUAGCAGUGUGCUGCCUGCACCCACCUGAGCCACUAUUACUAGCUUUUGGUCACUUCUUCCCUGCAGCUUUCUGCAGACUUACCCUGUCACCGAGGAUGGAGAGUGCAGCAGGCACGGGACUGGGGUAUUUGUGGAAAGUCAGGAGCCCUCUCUUGGCUAUAUGUAGUAGAACAAGUAUUUUUUUUCUUCUAAGUGAAUCUUCCCCUGGCACAAGAAGCCAGCCAGCCAGCCAGCCAGCCUCUGGGGCCCAGGACAAAGCCUGAAGAAGCCUAAGAGAAGAACCCUGGAAUCCCUGCAAAGGUAUGUGGAUCCCCGCUCACUCUAAACCUCCCCCUCUUUGUGCUGUUUUUACUCCACUCUGGAGUAGCCUGCUCUUCGUUCUCUGGGCAGUCUUGGCCUCUGGCAUGCUGUCCCUCCUUUUUUUUUUUUUUUUUUUUUUGCCAUUCUCAAAGGGCCACUAAGGUAUAGACCCAGCCCUUCCUCCCUUGCCUGGUUUUGACAGGACUCAUGUCUGUUGGGUCUCUUUGUAGCCCUUCUCCCCCUUCAACCAGCAGUCGGGCCCUAGCCCGUAACCUUGACAACCACUUGGUCCUGUCUCCUCACUACUGAAAACCUGAAGAGGGUUUUCCAGCUGCGGUACAUUUGCCCAAAUUGGGCACCCCUUCUAGCUUCCAUUGGCUCUCCCUCUGCCCAACUGUACCCAAUACAACAAACCAGCUUCCCUGGUCCCUUGGCUGUAACCCAAAAUUGAUCACACUGGUGCUGGGAGCUCCACCACACAGCUUCCUCCAUGCAGCUCCUAACAGGCAGGAAUACGGUUGCUUCUCAAUAAACAAAUCGCAAAAAAGGAAUGAACGAGUUGCUGAACAUUUGUCUAAGGGGCCCUUGAUCCAGCGACAAG